rnacentral:tRNA from 4 species
GGGCGCGUAGCUCAGUUGGUUAGAGCGCUACACUCACAUUGUAGAGGUCAGGGGUUCGAGUCCCUUCGCGCCCA